rnacentral:lncRNA from 1 species
AUUCAUAAGAAAAAAACUAAAAGAGAACAGUGUCCAGAACUCUGAAAGCGACAGAGAAGUAACCAAGAGGAAGAAAAAAAGCAAAGAUGUUUCUUCCUUAACAUGUGAGGAUAAUCAGGACCAAAGUUAUGGAAUUUCUAAUAAACACCUUCCAGGAAAACAAAAAGCCAAGUCCCAGGAAAAAGCACUCAUUGGUAAAAAACACAGAGAGUAUUCUGAAGAUGACAGUGAGGUAACCAGGAAGAAAAAGAAAAAGAUUCAGAAGGAAGAGGAGGAAGUAACUGAGCCUGUAAACCUUACAGUUGAAGAUGGGGAAAUAUCUGAAGGUGAAAAGAUGACACCAAUUAAAAGUAAUAGAAAGAACAAAAAAAAGAAACCCAAACCAACGGAAGACCUUGCAGUGGAUAAUAUAGAUGAGGGACUUGGUGAAAAUAAUGAUGUGCACUGUGACAAUAAGGGUAAGAAAAGAAAUAAACAGGGAUCGCUGAACUGUACCGAAGAGCCAAGAUUGAAAAAGAAAAAGGUCUUAGUAAAAACAGAAAAGGAGGCAAUGGAAUGUAAGGAUGAUGUAACAGUGGGAAAGGAAAGGAAAGGAAACUGCGAUGAAAUAAAUAUAGACAAGGAAUGUGAGGAUGAUGUAACAGUGGUAAAGGAAAGGAAAGGAAACUGCG